AUCGGCCAAACGAUUGAAGAUUGAUAUUCGGAUGUUUUUUCAGUGCAAUGCUUCACUGUCAUGGUGCACAGUAGAGAUCUGCACGGAUUGGUUUCUUCAUCCUGCUCCCGCUUGCACCAGCUGGCUUUCUGUUCGACUCCCACCCGCUACCGGCAAAGAAGCCAAGAAGAAAAACAAAUCUACUAAGGGACGCGCUGCUGUAACUGGCAAGCUGCCUUUCCAGAACACGUGCUGAUGCUAUAACUAGUGAGACUGAAUGUCAACAAGGUCCAGGAGAAACAGGAGAGCUACCAGAGGAGAAUCAAGACCAAGUUCUUUGACAUCCGGGCGAAUGACUUGGUUUGGAAGAAGGACCAAAGAAAGGCGAGACCUGGGAAAACUUUCUGCUCUUUCGCUCCUAGCUGGGGUCACCAUCUAUUAAAUUAAGGAGCUAGGGGUUCAGCCUAACACCCAGAUGAGGAUCCACCUGAUGUCCUCCAUUACCAACCACCCUCCAACUUUUCAUUAUAUAAUCUACAGCUACUCUUAUUGGCAUUAUCUGCUAAGAAAGCUUGCUUGCUUUAUCAUACU
rnacentral:lncRNA from 1 species